rnacentral:rRNA from 1 species
GAUGAACGCUGGCGGCGUGCCUAAUACAUGCAAGUCGAACGCACAGAUCCUGACCUUUCUCCUCUUACGUUAGCGGCGGACGGGUGAGUAACACGUGGAUAACCUACCUAUUACUCUGGGAUAACUUCGGGAAACCGGUGCUAAUACCGGAUAUUCUCUUAACCUCCCUUGUUCAUUAGUGGAAGGCGUUUUUGCUGUCGCUUAUAGACGGAUCGCCGCCCCAUUAGCUAGUUGGUAAGUGACCUGCUUACGCUGGCAACGGUGCGUAGCCGACAGGGGUGGGGGGUCGGCCACCCGGGAACUGAGAAACGGGCCACAGUCCUAAGGGAGGCAGCAGUAGGGAAUCGUGAGCAAUGGGCGAAAGGCGGACGGAGGAAGGAGGCGCGAGGGAUGAAGGACGGCGGAUCGUAAAAUGCUGUUAUUAGGGAAGAACAAUUGUGUAAGAAAUGAGGCAUGUCGUGACGGUAGUGAAUCAGAAAGCGACGGCUAACUACGUG